rnacentral:rRNA from 1 species
GAUGAACGCUGGCGGCGUGCCUAAUACAUGCAAGUCGAGCGAACGGACGAGAAGCUUGCUUCUCUGAUGUUAGCGGCGGACGGGUGACUAACACGUGGAUAACCUACCUAUAAGACUGGGAUAACUUCGGGAAACCGGAGCUAAUACCGGAUGAUAUUUUGAACCGCAUGGUUCAAAAGUGAAAGACGGUCUUGCUGUCACUUAUAGAUGGAUCCGCGCUGCAUUAGCUAGUUGGUAAGGUAACGGCUUACCAAGGCAACGAUGCAUAGCCGACCUGAGAGGGUGAUCGGCCACACUGGAACUGAGACACGGUCCAGACUCCUACGGGAGGCAGCAGUAGGGAAUCUUCCGCAAUGGGCGAAAGCCUGACGGAGCAACGCCGCGUGAGUGAUGAAGGUCUUCGGAUCGUAAAACUCUGUUAUUAGGGAAGAACAUAUGUGUAAGUAACUGUGCACAUCUUGACGGUACCUAAUCAGAAAGCCACGGCUAACUACGUG